ACUUUGAUCUGAGAAAACGCCGACUCAUGUCAUCACGCACCAUCACCAGACAGCUUUGAGAGAAAGAAGGGACGUUUGGAUGAAACAUCAGCCACUGAAAAUCCAUUUCAUCAUCCACACAUGUCUUAUAGAUACAGAUGACCUCCUUUCUGCAGGGAUGCACAUCUAUUCACAGUUUAUACACACAGUGCUGUACUUUAUAGUUCUUCUGUUUAAUUUAAUAGUCUGAGCAAAUUCUAAAUUGGCAAAUUGUAAGAUAUUAUACGAAAUAUGUGUAUGUCACAUGAUAUGUAUUAUAAAUAUAUUUCAAAAGUCAGAUGGUGCCACACCGGCCCCACGUGCCCUAUAUAGCUGGUGAUAGAUUCGAGAUCAGGGCCAAUAUUUUCCACAAAAUGACGGAGUGAGCGUGUGUGUGUGACCGGACACGUAGCCUUGGUUAUAUACUGUGUGUGUGCGUGUGAGCGGAUUGGUGUGCGUGCGCCGCGCAACGUAGCAGUCGGUGACCGUGAGUCGUUAACCGCGUCGAGCCGGUAGUGCGCACACGCCUCAUGGAAAGUAGAUGAGUCUGACCGGUGACUCGUGACUUCCUGCCCGUCACUUCAGGGCUGAGGCAUCACCGCGAGGAGGACGAGAGGGGAACACACGAAAGGAAGUGACUCGAAUACGUUGCAUUGUGGCGUUGAUGGUGAUGAUGAUGAUGAUGAUGAUUAAGAUUGGAGCCUUAAAAGUAAAAAAGUUCAAGUUCAAGACCCAUCGAUGGUGUGUGACACCUGCAGGUUCAUUCAUAUCUGUAAACAGUCUCAUGUUAAAUGUUUAAUAACCUGUGAAUUAAAAAGCUCCCCGAGUUCUAAUAUUUCUUAGUAGUAUCACCACAUAGUCUUGUCGCCCUCUGCUGGACAAACCAGCCCCUGCAGGGCUACAAAUGUGUCCUGCUCACUGACAGAUUGAUAGACAGCGAGGAAGCGGAAAGAGCUGAUAAGUAUGUAAUGACAUAAGUUGGCAGCUAUGUACCUCACAUACUCGGCUCGCUUGCGACAACUCAUACCUCGCUGUGCAUUCAAAUGGAAUGAGGGAGGGAAAGAAAAAGCCAAGGGAGACAAUGAGACUUUACAGUGGGGUGAAGUGAGGCGUGAUGGAGCAAGAAAGCAGAGAGGCGAGGUGAUGGAUAAGGAGAAAGAGCUUUUAGGAAGAGAGGGAUUGGGCCCUCGUGUAACUGGAGCGGUGCUGAGCGAGAGGAGUCCCCUAGACUCCGUACCUGUCCGCAGUUUAAUUGAAGAAUAACACUUGGGUUCAUUAGCGGGGUCACCGAGCUCCUCUUUCUGCUGACUCAGAGUGUGUGCAAGGUUACAGUGGAUACAGUGGGACAGUGUGUGUGUGUGUGUGUGUGUGUGUGUGUGUGUGUGUGUGUGUGUGUGUGUGUGCAUCCCAGUUUGUGCUGACUAAACACACACACAGAUAUGUAAACACUCACACUUUAAUGAAACGGUCCUUUCCUAAAAGUACAAUAAACAGCCUCCCCUGCAUCGACAUGCACGCUGACGCACGCUUGUAAAUGUCAUCACGGUGUGAGGAAAUCAGGGUGAUUCCUAUUUGAGCUGUGGGCACAGCAGCUACAGCUACUUAAUCUGUAUUUAAAAGAAAUACAACAAAGCCGAGGUCACGUUUUAAGUCUGUAUUUUUCGCCUUUUCCCGUAAGGCCAGUCUGAUUUCAUGGCACGAGUAGUUUUCCACACAGC